UUGAACCUUGCAUCUAUUCUCUCCACGUUUUAAUGUUUUUGAUCGGUGAAUAUUGAACCUAGAUACCUUGUAUACUAAUUGCCUGAUGUAGUUAAACCUAGAUCUUUUUCUAUGAAAGCUUUGACAUCUCUGUUUUCAUCUAUGUCUUAAUUAUGGUUUGAGCUACUAGGAUUCAUGAUACGGGGCAACUAGUCUUGGAUUUUACGGCAGAGUUGGACCGGGGUUAACUUUUAUAUUUUAAUUAUUAUUUUGGAUAUUUUGGGUAUUUUUAUUAUUUUGCAUAUUAGAGUUUUAUUUCUAUUGUAAAUAGCCUCCCAUGACUAUUAGGAUUUUAGACUCCUAUUAGGAUUAGGAUUAUUUUGCAUAUUAGAGUUUUAUUUCUAUUUAGCCUCCCUUGGCUAUUAGGAUUUUAGACUCCUAUUAGGAUUAUGAUUAUUUUAUUUCUAUUAUAAAUAGCCUCCUUUGGCUAUUAGAAAGGCACUUUUCACUUUUCAAUCUUUGAGAAAUUUCAAUAAGACUUUUAGUCUUUCAGCUUAUAUUUUCUCCUAUUUCGUCUUAACCAAACGAUAUUGGUUAAAACUCCUGACGAAGUCUAAAUAGUCCUACAUCAGAUUGGUAUCAGAGCGAAGUUCGACCAUGGCAGAUAACCAAGAGGCGCGACUUGCUGCGAUUGAGGCAUCCUUGGCAGAAUUGAGGGAGAUGAUCGGACAACUGACCCUGCAGCAGGGAAUCCACCAACCCGCCGCCGCCGCACAUCCCCAUGUAGCCGCCAAUCCUGUGGCCGCCAUUCCUGUGGCCGCCAAUCCUGUGGUCGUCAAUCCUAUGCCUGCAAAUCCCCAACAGAACUAUCAGGAAGGUUACAGGAUCAAGGUAGACCUUCAAAACUUUUCUGGUUCAUUAGAUGUUGAAUCUGUUCUUGAUUGGCUGGCAGAGGUUGAACGCUUCUUUGAAAUUAUGAACGUGGAAGAGGAACGCAAGGUUCCAAUUGUGGCCUAUAAGUUGAAAGGGGGUGCAGCAGCCUGGUGGAAUUCGAUUCAAAACGAACGCUAUCGGAAGAGGCUGGAGCCCAUACGAAACUGGGUGCUGAUGAAGCAGAUGUUUGAACAACGGUUCUUGCCUAGCGAUCACGCUCAGGUUUUAUAUAACCGGUAUCAUGACUGUGUACAAGGGAACCGAAGGGUGGAUGAGUAUACCGAGGAGUUUCUAAGGCUGCAGGCGAGAUGUGAAAACUGUGAGAACGAGGCCCAACAGGUUGCUCAUUAUCAGAGGGGGCUGAAUCACGAAAUUCGUUGUAUGAUGGGAGUAGCUGCGAUUUUCACCCUGGCAGACGCUAUUGAGAUGGCAAAAAGGGCAGAAGAGCGUGUUGAUUGGCAGCCACGACAGCAGCAGUACAACCGGAAUUUCAAUUACAGAAACUCUAGUUCAACAGGGACGCAGCAAUAUAGAGGCAACUACAGCGGGCAGCCUUCUAAGGUUGUAAAUUCUGGCAACCCUCCGAAUACCAUGGAAGAAAGGAGAGACAGUAAGGGCAAGGCAGUCACCACUACAACAGACAAAGGAGGCAGGACCAAUCCUUACCAGAAGCCAACGGGAGACAUCUGUUACCGGUGCAGGCAAUCUGGUCAUCGAUCAAAUAAUUGUCCAGAACGUAGAGGAGUUAAUGCUGACCGCCGGCAGGUUAAUAUAGUUGAGCAGGUGGCUGAAACUGACGAGGAAGUGGAUGACGAUGACGGAUCUAUUGCUGGUUCUGAAGAUGGAGAGGUCACCUAUGUGGUGAAGAAGAUCUUAUGCUCAACAAAACAGGAGGACGAGACACAAAGGAGGAAGAUUUUCCAGGCAAAGUGUCGAGUAGGAGAGGCAAUUUGCAGGCUAAUUAUAGAUAGCUGCAGUUGUGAGAAUCUGAUAGCUAAGCAAUUGGUAGAAAAAUUACAGUUGCCUACACAGCCUCACCCCUCACCUUACAAAGUCGGAUGGAUCAAGGAAGGACCGACAAUUGAGGUCAACAGAAUCUGCAGCGUGCCUAUCUCGAUCGGUAAAUCUUAUACUGAACUUGUUAAUUGUGAUGUUGUGGAUAUGGAUUGCUGUGGAAUUUUGCUAGGUCGACCUUGGCAAUUCGACGUUGAUGCUUUGCAUAAAGGGAAGGAGAAUUCAUACAUGUUCAUGUGGAAUCAAAAGAAGAUUACUAUCUUGCCUUCCGGUUCUGCGAAACAUUCUAAGGUGGAAGGGAAGCAUACUGUUGCUGUUUCUACGGAAGUGCAGAAGCUAUCAGGCGCAGUUGAGAAAUCUGAAGGCACACUAGCCUUAUUGAUGAGAGCAAAAGGUACAAUGGAGGAUGCACCAUCUUUACCACCGCCCGUCAAAGAGUUGUUAAAGGAGUUUCCUAAGAUAGUGGAGGAGUCAUCAAAGCAUCCACCCCUGCGGGAUAUCCAACAUCAGAUUGAUCUCAUUCCUGGAUCAAAAUUACCGAAUUUGCCUCAUUACAAGAUGAGUCCAAAGGAGAGUGAAAACCUCCAAGGCCAGGUGGAAUUUGCUUACAACAGUAUUGCAGCAAGCAAAUUGGCAAAGCAGCACGUGGAUGUUUUCAAACAGGAGCGUGGUGGAGGACAGAAAAAGCUUGACGCCAAGAAGAUUGGUCCAUUCCGGAUCAUUCAGAAGAUCAAUGACAAUGCCUAUGCUCUUGACCUCCCACAUGAAAUGAAAAUUUCGAAGACAUUUAAUGUGGCAGAUCUAUUUCAGUACUACCCUACUGAUGACAACUCGAGGACGAGUUAUUUACAAGUGGAAGGAAAUGAUACGGGGCAACUAGUCUUGGAUUUUACGGCAGAGUUGGACCGGGGUUAACUUUUAUAUUUUAAUUAUUAUUUUGGAUAUUUUGGGUAUUUUUAUUAUUUUGCAUAUUAGAGUUUUAUUUCUAUUGUAAAUAGCCUUCCUUGACUAUUAGGAUUUUAGACUCCUAUUAGGAUUAGGAUUAUUUUGCAUAUUAGAGUUUUAUUUCUAUUUAGCCUCCCUUGGCUAUUAGGAUUUUAGACUCCUAUUAGGAUUAUGAUUAUUUUAUUUCUAUUAUAAAUAGCCUCCCUUGGCUAUUAGAAAGGCACUUUUCACUUUUCAAUCUUUGAGAAAUUUCAAUAAGACUUUUAGUCUUUCAGCUUAUCUUUUCUCCUAUUUCGUCUUAACCAAACGAUAUUGGUUAAAACUCCUGACGGAGUCUAAAUAGUCCUUCUUUUCUCUUAUUUCGUCUUAACCAAACGAUAUUGGUUAAAACUCCUGACGAAGUCUAAAUAGUCCUACAUCAAUUCAUCCCCCAAAAUAAUCAAAUUCAACUCAGUUUUAAAGUCCAGUAGCUUAAGAAGCAAGUUGAGUAGAGUCCAGUUCAAGAAUAAAAGCUGAAGAACCUGG
rnacentral:lncRNA from 1 species